rnacentral:rRNA from 1 species
UACGUAGGGCGCGAACGUUGUUCGGAUUUACUGGGCGUAAAGGGUGUGUAGGCGGUCUUGCAAGUCAGGGGUGAAAUCUCUCGGCUCAACCGAGAAACUGCCUUUGAGACUGCAGGACUUGAGGGCGUGAGAGGAGACUGGAAUUCCUAGUGUAGCGGUGAAAUGCAUAGAUAUUAGGAGGAACACCAGUGGCGAAGGCGAGUCUCUGGCACGCAUCUGACGCUGAAACACGAAAGCCAGGGGAGCGAACGGG